rnacentral:lncRNA from 1 species
AAUGACCGAAUGAGCUCUAACUUAGGCAGCUAACAAUGAGAAGGUCCCCAAGCUGCAAACUGUGAAAGCAAGAGACUUUGCACAUUGCUUGCUAAUUUGAGUCAGUUUAAGUUGAGUAUUUCACAACCUGCCAUGCCCACUAGCUAAUUUUGCCCUGUUAUAAAUUUCCAGGAAAAUAAAUUUUGACCCACAAGCUCAUGCCCACUAAGGUUUCUCCCCACCCCAUUGCCAUUCUCGAACGUUAUACUAAUAAGACCAAGAUGGAAGAACCAAAGACCUUAAUAGACUAAAAGCCCAGACUCAUGAGAAAGCAAUCCACCUAUAUCAAACUUCAGAAGGAAAGGGGAUAAAACUACUGGCCUUUGAUUGUGUAACUUUUUGAUAUCCGGUAAAAAGAGAUAUCCGAAAUCAUGUUUUGUUUUAAGUUUUUUCCAAAAGAAGUUUUUGCGAAAAAAUGUUUUUAAGGUACCUUUUAGAGAAAAUUUGUUCCAUUCAAGAAAUGCUCAGAGAACUUCAAAAAUAACUAUAAAUGUCCAAGCACGUUUCCUUUUCAGAAGCUUUUUUCCCAAUAUUUUUUCAUAGAACUUUUCCAUAAGUCAUCCAAACGGCUCUAAAGCUAGUAGCGUUUGAUUGUGCAACUUUUUAAUAUCCAGCAAAAAAAAUUGCUUCUGAAACCACAUUUUUGUUUAGGCUUUAUAAAAGCAGUUUUUACAAAGAAUUGUUAUUUGAGUAAGUUGUUAUAGGGUACUCCUUAGAAAAAAGUUGUUCACUCAAGAAAUGCUCACAGAUCUUCAAAAUAACAACUAUCCAAGCACGCUUUUUUUCACAAAACAUUUUUCAAAAGUCAUCCAAACAGCUCUACUUGAGAUAUGAACAAGCAGGUUAUCUGGAACUCACAAUACGACCUAACCAGAGUUCAAUUCAGAAAACUUUAUGCCAAACAAUUAUUUAAAGGUACAUGAAUUAGUGGACACAGGGUAGAAAAUUAGCAUGUAAGCUGAUAUGAAAUUCACACAAUGACCAUGAGUGCUAACCCAUAACAAAAAAAGACAUUCUAAAGCCCUAAACAUUUUAAUACAUCAGAUCCGUGAUAAUUUCUAAGUAACUCCAUCCUGUUUAAAUGGUCUCAGUAUGACCUGGCAUAGACAAUAGAGAUAACUUCGAAAAUGUAAACCGUUUUUUGAUUUUUUGGGGGAACAUGUGAUUCAUGCAUUGAUUUUUACACCUUUGAAGAAUUUGAGAAAAAUGGGCAUUGAAUAGAUUGAAAGUAGGGUCCUACAUUUUAUGAGUUUUCUUUUCAAGGAAACUGGGUAGCAUUAUGCCAAAAUUAAAGCAUGACAAUCUGUUUGGAUCUUCCGGAGCGCGUAUAUAAGGGACAGGGUAGAGAAAUAGAAGAACUCCACUUAAAACCCCUUCCCCACAAAAGACAUACCAAUAAAGCUCGGAAACAAAUGGUCUACUAGUAACACUAACCUGAGAGGAGAACUCUUUUGAUUGAACGAGGAAGUCCCUUAUGUGAUUCUUGAAUGUGGGAAGGUCAUUUGUUGACUCAAAUAGCCCACUGACAAAUUGAGUCACCUGAAAAGAGCAAAACAUUAUUAACAUCUAAAGAAAAACAAUACAAAUUGAUGUGGGAAGGUCAUUUGUUGACUCAAAUAGCCCACUGACAAAUUGAGUCACCUGAAAAGAGCAAAACAUUAUUAACAUCUAAAGAAAAACUAUAUACAAAUUGACAUGAAAAAACAUUAUGUAAAACUUAUGGUCAUACUUCAGCUGAUGUCAUGUUGG